AAUAUUGCACAAUGGGCGCAAGCCUGAUGCAGCCAUGCCGCGUGUAUGAAGAAGGCCUUCGGGUUGUAAAGUACUUUCAGCAGUGAGGAAGGUGGAUAUGUUAAUAGCAUAUUCAUUUGACGUUAGCUGCAGAAGAAGCACCGGCUAACUCCGUGCCAGCAGCCGCGGUAAUACGGAGGGUGCGAGCGUUAAUCGGAAUUACUGGGCGUAAAGCGCAUGCAGGUGGUUUGUUAAGUCAGAUGUGAAAGCCCGGGGCUCAACCUCGGAAUUGCAUUUGAAACUGGCAAACUAGAGUACUGUAGAGGGGGUAGAAUUUCAGGUGUAGCGGUGAAAUGCGUAGAGAUCUGAAGGAAUACCGGUGGCGAAGGCGGCCCCCUGGACAGAUACUGACACUCAGAUGCGAAAGCGUGGGGAGCAAACAGGAUUAGAUCCCCUGGUAG
rnacentral:rRNA from 1 species